UACAGAGGGGGCAAGCGUUGUUCGGAAUUACUGGGCGUAAAGUGUGCGCAGGCGGCCGAGCAAGUCGAGUGUGAAAGCCCCGAGCUUAACUUGGGAACUGCGCUCGAAACUACUUGGCUAGAGUGUGGCAGAGGGAGGUGGAAUUCCACGUGUAGCAGUGAAAUGCGUAGAGAUGUGGAGGAACACCGAUGGCGAAGGCAGCCCCCUGGGCUAACACUGACGCUCAUGCACGAAAGCGUGGGGAGCAAACAGG
rnacentral:rRNA from 1 species